GCGUCUCGACGUGUCAUAUAUAGGUAGGUGUUCCUCCCGCUUAGAAGGCAGGUGAAAAUUCGUUAAAAAAAUCAGUUUUCCUACGUGCCUCAAAUCUAGAUGCGCCCCAUCAGCUGCAGAAUUCAAGGAAAUCCCCAUUGUUAUGUAGGGCAUUUUUGAGCAAACCCUCCACACUCUAGAGGCUGGACUGUGCUGAAGUUGGCAAAGAAGGCAACGGACUGGGGAAGAGAAGGAAUAUUAAAAAUUUGAAAAUAAAGAGAGCUAUCCGUCGACAGUCUAUAUUUUACACUGUCAUGGAGUUGCUCUCUUUAUGGACGAAUUUAUUUCCAUCGCUGCAUUGGGGGUCUUUUGGUGAAAUCGCGCUCUGGUUACAAUUUAAACUAAAAAUCCUUUACAUGUACUUAUCAAACAAAAUCGACCAGAACGGUGCAUUUGAGGUAAAUAAAACAUUAAUUCUUCGUU